CCGGGCGAUCAUACCAGCUCUAAUGCACUCAUCCCAUCAGAACUCUGCAGUUAAGCGUGCUUGGGAGAGAGUAAUACUAGGAUGGGUGACCUCCUGGAAAGUCCAAGUGUUGCACACC
rnacentral:rRNA from 1 species